rnacentral:rRNA from 1 species
GAUGAACGCUAGCGGCAGGCCUAACACAUGCAAGUCGAGGGGCAUCAUGGCGUAGCAAUACGCUGAUGGCGACCGGCGCACGGGUGCGUAACGCGUAUGGAACCUACCCACCGCAGGGGGAUAACCCGCCGAAAGGCGGACUAAUACCCCAUGGUUCCCCGACCCUGCCUGGGGUUGGGGGUAAAGCCUACGGGCGGCGGUGGAUGGCCCUGCGUGCCAUUAGCUAGUUGGUGGGGUAAUGGCCUACCAAGGCGAUGAUGUCUAGGGGUGUGAGAGCAUGGCCCCCACGACCGGAACUGAGAUACUGUCCGGACACCUACGGGUGGCUGCAGUCGAGAAUCUUCCGCAAUGGACGAAAGUCUGACGGAGCGACGCCGCGUGCGGGAUGAAGGCCCUUGGGUUGUAAACCGCUGUCAGAGGGGAUGAAAUCUUCGGAGGUACUCCUCCGGAGUUGACAGAGCCUCAAAGGAAGCACGGGCUAAGUACGUG